GGACAGUCUUCACAGAAUGGCGACAGGACCAAGGUGACUACACGGAAGACUACUAGGGGUAAAGAGCAAGAAGAUACGAAAAGACGGUGCUCCAGGGUUCUAGCAACCGAUCGCCCUUAUGGGGUCAGGAAGGAAUUUUUCACCAGGCUGCUAAUUGGCCAAAAAAAAAGCACCUGAGUUUUUUGCCUUCCUCUGGGGCACCAUUAUCUGUGUAGGUCAAUGGGUACCACCCUGACACAGCUGCGUUUUCAGUUACAAGGCAUCAGUGCGGCUCCAGGAAGACGGAUGGUUCUUCAGUGAAGUGCAGGCCUACCCUCGGAAAGUCGCGAGUGUGGAGCAGACUUUGACUGCACGGUCUUGUCUGUGUCAUGCGAGAGGCUGGGUUAGCGCCAUUAUUGCACAUGAUAGGGAGCAGGGGGAUGGGCUACUGGUUGGUCAACAGAGGGCGCUCUGCCCCAUGAUCCCUGCUCUCUAAAAUAACUGUUUGGUACGGUGUGGGCACCAGGCCCACGUUCUUGGCGAUUAUAGGAGCCGCAGCUGGUGGUCAGGGUGUACCUAGUCCUUAGCACAUAUAUAUAUAACUUGUUAAUAAAAUACGUGACCUCCACAGAUUUUGCCACCUUAA